GCUAGCUUUUACAAACAAUCUAGGAAUACUAAUCCCAAGGGACUCGAUGGGGAGAAAGAUGGUCCAACUGUGUUCAGCAGUGCUACUGAGAAGGCACAGAAGAGAUCAGGAGCUCACUUUAUUCACAGGAAACAGAGGAAUACUGGAGCUGUGCUUUCAUUCCGUGGAAUUAAAGGCUCCAUUAAUAAAGAACAGAAGUCAUCUGCUGCCAGGCUGGGCCAGUGGCUCCUCCGGGUGGUCCCUGCAAACAGGGAGACUUGGCUGUUUGUGCUCCUCGUUAUGGAGAGCUGGGACACAUCAAGUGCCUUGCUCAGGGCACAUAGAAACUCUCCAGUUUAUCCCCAAACUCACUUCAGAUCUUUCUACUGCUGGAGCUGCAUAGCCAC
rnacentral:lncRNA from 1 species